UACGUAGGGUGCGAGCGUUGUCCGGAAUUAUUGGGCGUAAAGGGCUCGUAGGCGGUCCGUCACGUCGGGAGUGAAAACUUGGGGCUUAACCCCAAGCCUGCUUCCGAUACGGGCGGACUAGAGGUAGGCAGGGGAGAACGGAAUUCCUGGUGUAGCGGUGAAAUGCGCAGAUAUCAGGAGGAACACCGGUGGCGAAGGCGGUUCUCCGGGACGGUACUGACGCUGAGACGCGAAAGCGUGGGGAGCGAACAGG
rnacentral:rRNA from 1 species